AAGCUACUGGGGGAGCCGAAGCUCCCCCAAAGUGUGUGCUCUUUAUUAUUGUUUUCUGCCUGGGCUUCUUGUUUUUGUUGAGUGCCCAUUCACGAGACUUGCGUCUGUGAAACCUCCCAAUCGGGAGUCAAGAGCAAACGGAUUGCUUUGGUCGCUGCGUUGCAAUGAUCAUUCGAUCCAACCAGUUCAGGCGCUACCUAAGGGUAGUU
rnacentral:misc_RNA from 4 species